GAUGAACGCUGGCGGCGUGCCUAACACAUGCAAGUCGAACGGAGUCCAGCCUUUAAGACCUUCGGGUCAAAGAGGGGAAGACUGAGUGGCGGACGGGUGAGUAACACGUGGGCAACCUGGCUCAUAGAGGGGGAUAACAGAGAGAAAUUUCUGCUAAUACCGCAUAAGCACACACUGCCGCAUGGCAGAGGGUGAAAAGAGAAUCGCUAUGAGAUGGACCCGCGUCUGAUUAGCCAGUUGGCAGGGUAAGAGCCUACCAAAGCGACGAUCAGUAGCCGAUCUGGGAGGAUGAACGGCCACAUUGGGACUGCGACCCGGCCCACACUCCUACGGGAGGCAGCAGUGGGGGAUAUUGCACAAUGGGGGGAACCCUGAUGCAGCGACGCCGCGUGAGUGAAGAAGUAUUUCGGUAUGUAAAGCUCUAUCAGCAGGGAAGAUAAUGACAGUACCUGAAUAAGAAGCCCCGGCUAACUACGUG
rnacentral:rRNA from 1 species